rnacentral:rRNA from 1 species
GACGAACGCUGGCGGCGUGCCUAAUACAUGCAAGUCGAACGCAGUGGGGACGGGUGCGUAACACGUGGGUAACCUCCCAUCAGAGGGGAUAACCCUUGGAUACAGGUGCUAAACCGAUACUGAUGGAUGAACCCGCGGUGCAUUAGCUAGUUGGUGAGGUAACGGCUCACCAAGGCCACGAUGCAUAGCGGAUCUGAGAGGGUGAUCGGCCACACGGGGACUGAGACACGGCCCAGACUCCUACGGGAGGCAGCAGUAGGGAAUCUUCGGCAAUGGACGCAAGUCUGACGGAGCAACGCCGCGUGAGUGAAGAAGGUUUUCGGAUCGUAAAGCUCUGUUGUUAGAGAAGCGGUAUCUAACCAGAAAGCCACGGCUAACUACGUGCCAGCCGCCGCGGUAAUAC